UCGGCGACGAUGUGAUAUGAAAAUAUUAAUUUGUAUUACAUAAUAGAAAUUUGAGUUUUUUGGCUCUGGGGAUAGUAUGAUCGCAAGAUUGAAAAUUAAAGAAAUUGACGGAAGAAUACCACAAGGAGUGGAUUGUGCGGCUUAAUUUGACUCAACGCGA
rnacentral:rRNA from 1 species